rnacentral:rRNA from 1 species
AGAGUUUGAUCCUGGCUCAGAACGAACGCUGGCGGCAUGCCUAACACAUGCAAGUCGAACGAGACCUUCGGGUCUAGUGGCGCACGGGUGCGUAACGCGUGGGAAUCUGCCCUUGGGUUCGGAAUAACAGUUAGAAAUGACUGCUAAUACCGGAUAAUGUCUUCGGACCAAAGAUUUAUCGCCCAGGGAUGAGCCCGCGUAGGAUUAGCUAGUUGGUGAGGUAAAGGCCUACCAAGGCGACGAUCCAUAGCUGGUCUGAGAGGAUGAUCAGCCACAUUGGGACUGAGACACGGCCCAAACUCCUACGGGAGGCAGCAGUGGGGAAUAUUGGACAAUGGGCGCAAGCCUGAUCCAGCCAUGCCGCGUGUGUGAUGAAGGCCUUAGGGUUGUAAAGCACUUUCACCGGAGAAGAUAAUGACGGUAUCCGGAGAAGAGGCCCCGGCUAACUUCGUG